AGAUGGGAGCUUGCUCCCUGAUGUUAGCGGCGGACGGGUGAGUAACACGUGGGUAACCUGCCUGUAAGACUGGGAUAACUCCGGGAAACCGGGGCUAAUACCGGAUGGUUGUUUGAACCGCAUGGUUCAAACAUAAAAGGUGGCUUCGGCUACCACUUACAGAUGGACCCGCGGCGCAUUAGCUAGUUGGUGAGGUAACGGCUCACCAAGGCAACGAUGCGUAGCCGACCUGAGAGGGUGAUCGGCCACACUGGGACUGAGACACGGCCCAGACUCCUACGGGAGGCAGCAGUAGGGAAUCUUCCGCAAUGGACGAAAGUCUGACGGAGCAACGCCGCGUGAGUGAUGAAGGUUUUCGGAUCGUAAAGCUCUGUUGUUAGGGAAGAACAAGUACCGUUCGAAUAGGGCGGUACCUUGACGGUACCUAACCAGAAAGCCACGGCUAACUACGUGCCAGCAGCCGCGGUAAUACGUAGGUGGCAAGCGUUGUCCGGAAUUAUUGGGCGUAAAGGGCUCGCAGGCGGUUUCUUAAGUCUGAUGUGAAAGCCCCCGGCUCAACCGGGGAGGGUCAUUGGAAACUGGGGAACUUGAGUGCAGAAGAGGAGAGUGGAAUUCCACGUGUAGCGGUGAAAUGCGUAGAGAUGUGGAGGAACACCAGUGGCGAAGGCGACUCUCUGGUCUGUAACUGACGCUGAGGAGCGAAAGCGUGGGGAGCGAACAGGAUUAGAUACCCUGGUAGUCCACGCCGUAAACAAUGAGUGCUAAGUGUUAGGGGGUUCCGCCCCUUAGUGUGCAGCUACGCAUAAGCACU
rnacentral:rRNA from 1 species